GCAGAGGCAGGCAGGCAGGCAUAAAGGCACAAAGGCAGAGCCCACAGAGAGGGCCAAUUCUCUCUGCCCACACCUGCAGCAUGAAGGACAGCCGCUCCAAGUCCUCACCUGUGUCCCCCAUACAUCCUGGAGAGCAGGAUUUGUCUGCUAACUGGUAACCUUCUGAUCUGAGCCCAUGUCAAGCCCUGAAGAGUAACAGGCUUACUGCCUGAUGGAGAAACUGCUGUUUCCCCAGCCGAAGAUUUCUUCAACUAA
rnacentral:lncRNA from 1 species